UUUUGGGUUUCUUCUCCUUGUGUCGACUCAUUCUCUCUUCUCUCUUUGAUGAUUCCGCCGUUCUUCUUUCACAUUUCGCGUUCCACAUCUUCCAUUACUCUUCUCUCCAAAUCCGUUUCAUGGCAUACUUUCACCACUAACUAACUGCUCUAAUCAGACCUUGCUUGAACUCAUUCAAUGGAUCCUUUUCACCUUCCUCUCCGUUUGUCUAUUAAUAGAUCUAUUUCCUUAGCUUAUGUCUAGAUUAAUAUUGAAAAGCUUCUCUCAGACAAUCAUCCCGAUGGAACCCAAAAGAAACGCUUCAAUCCCGCAAGACCAACAAGAAGACCGUCGCCUCCUCCGCGACUGCAAACCCAAACGGGAAGUCCACCGCUUCUGUUCCCUGGGACGGUGAAGAAAACGAUCUCGACUCUCUUCUUCUGCGGCGACGACGAUUCAGUGGCACAUUAUUUUCAAUCGCCCAUGAUGAGGUCAUUCAGACAAUCCCACGACCUUCUGUUCAAUUUAUCUUCACCGUCUUCUAAAGCACAAGGGACACAGUUUUGUUAUAAGGUCACCACGCAAAUACUCUUUUGUUAGUCGAGAUACAAAACAGAAGCCAGAAUCAUAAUUAAGUCAAAUCAACAAGGAACCCAACUUCAACCCUCUGCAUACGUUCAUGAUGACAACAAGAAACUACUCUUCAAUUGGCUCCAUACACUCCGAUCUGAAGAAAAAAAAAUCAUUGAUGAGGUCAUGGAGAUAAAUGAUCAGACUGUUAAAUCUCACAAUAUGGAUGAAGAAGAAGAAGUUUCCAUUGAAGAUGUACCGGAUGUAAAAGAGGAGAGCGCUGUGCUUGAGUUUCGCCUUAACCUUCUCCAAAUGAUUCAUUGAUUUAAGUUAUUGGUCGUCCCAUCCUCUUAUGACCACUCAUAUGAUAAGUAUAAAAGUUGAACUGUUGUGUUCCUUAGAAAAGGACUAUACAUGCAUCUUUACUCCAUGUUUUAUAACGGUGUCCUCAAACGUUGUAAUCUGGCGGGUUUCAUCUGAACCUCUGUUCGAUUCUUGGAUCUGACAUCUGAUCUUUUGUCGCUUUCCAUGAGUAGAAGAUGUUGCAGAUGCGUACAAAGCCAUCGAGUUGGAGCUUACAUUGGCAAUAGCGUAUUUCAGCAAUGGGAAGAGGCUAUCAAGCUACAUGACCCGAAAAGGAGGUUGGAUUGCUCAAGGGUUCUUCAAUGAGUGAGAUUUCUGAGCUCAAGAAGCAAACAAAGAUAUCGUAUGAGAGGCAGCUUAACCGCAUCACAGAUAUGCUUGAGACAUAGCUGAGAGAAACGGCAAAGAGGCUGGAGCGGAAGACUUGAAAAGCGGAAGAGAGCAUAUGAAGUUUUGAAAUGGUCAAGCGAUGAGAUUAAGAAGCUGAGAAAAAAAUUGGAAAGGGCGAAAAUAGACCAAAGGAGCUGCAGAAAAAAAAACUGGGGAAAUGCAUCAAUCUGCAAUUGAGAAUCAAUCUAUAAGCAUUCUCACUGAACUGGUAAAAUGCAUCAAUCCGUGGUUCUAAAAAGCUUCGUCAAACUCUGAUAAGGUUUAUCAACAAGAAGACAAAGUAUAGCUAAUUACAGAUGCACAUAUAUUUCUUUUUCCACUUUUGAUGCUGAACAUAUUUGACUUUUGUUAAUUUUUAUUUUCCUUGAUUAAAACGGUUUAAUCUUUCUACUUACUGGCCAUUGCUGCUUGGUUGAUCAAAGCUAGAAAACUAACAUUUACAGAUAUUGAGUGUGAACUUCUUCAUGUUAUUAUCGUGUCACACUAUACUGUAUUUGCAGCACUGUUUGUAUAAAGUUACAAGAAUAUAGUACUGCUAAAA